rnacentral:rRNA from 1 species
CCUGUGCACCUUUUGUAGGCUUCGGCAGAGAGGACUGACUUCGGUCGGUUCAGGAAGCCUUGUGCCUAUGUCACACAUACAAACGCUUCAGUUUAGAAUGUAACGAAUCGUGCGCCUCGGUGCAACGAAAUAAAUACAACUUUCAGCAACGGAUCUCUUGGCUCUCGCAUCGAUGAAGAACGCAGCGAAAUGCGAUAAGUAAUGUGAAUUGCAGAAUUCAGUGAAUCAUCGAAUCUUUGAACGCACCUUGCGCUCCUUGGUAUUCCGAGGAGCAUGCCUGUUUGAGUGUCAUGAAAUUCUCAACCUUUGAAGCUUUUUUUUGAGCUCGCAAAGGCUUGGACUUGGAGGUCGUGUCGGCUCGUAACAAAGUCGACUCCUCUGAAAUGCAUUAGUGUGAAACCUUCGCAGGAUCGCCUUCGGUGUGAUAAUUGUCUACGCCGUCGGUCGUGAAAGUCGAAACAUACGUGUUCACGCUUCUAAUCGUCCGUCGAGGACAAACUUUUUUCUUGACCAUCUGACCUCAAAUCAGGUAGGACUACCCGCUGAACUUAAGCAUAUCAAUAAGCGGAGGAAAAGAAACUAACAAGGAUUCCCCUAGUAACUGCGAGUGAAGCGGGAAAAGCUCAAAUUUAAAAUCUGGUGGCCUUCGGUCAUCCGAGUUGUAGUCUGGAGAAGCGUCUUCCGCGCUGGACCGUGUACAAGUCUCUGGAACAGAGCGUCGUAGAGGUGA